rnacentral:rRNA from 1 species
GCUUGUCUCAAAGAUUAAGCCAUGCAAGUCUAAGUUUAAGCAAUUAAACAGCGAAACUGCGGACGGCUCAUUAAAUCAGUUAUCGUUUAUUUGAUAGCACCUACUACAUGGAUAACUGUGGUAAUUCUAGAGCUAAUACAUGCUAAAAAUCCCGACUUCGGAAGGGAUGUAUUUAUUAGAUUAAAAACCAAUGCCCUUCGGGGCUCUCUGGUGAUUCAUAAUAACUGCUCGAAUCGCAUGGCCUUGCGCCGGCGAUGGCUCAUUCAAAUUUCUGCCCUAUCAACUUUCGACGGCUGGGUCUUGGCCAGCCAUGGUGACAACGGGUAACGGAGGGUUAGGGCUCGACCCCGGAGAAGGAGCCUGAGAGACGGCUACUACAUCCAAGGAAGGCAGCAGG